rfam:Stegodyphus mimosarum contig4347, whole genome shotgun sequence.
GCCUUCGUGGUGUAGUGGUCUGCAUGCUCGGCGCGUAACCGAGAGGUCCGUGGUUCGAUUCCCGGCGAAGGCG